rnacentral:lncRNA from 1 species
GCUCUCACCGGGGUCGAGCCGCGGCGAGGGAACGGAUCGGAGACGCUGCGCCUGCUCAGAAGGUAGCGCAGCGGGGAAAGGCGGGAGAGCGUUAACUUCUGAGCCUGCGCGGUGGGAGUUGCUCAAGCAGGUGGUAGCGACUUGGCUUCCGGGCAGCGGGUAAAGGAAAUGCCUCAGGCCAGAAGAAGCAGUGGCAGCCUCUCACCUGCAGUGGGAUCUGUCUCAACUCCCAUUCCGUCUCCAGAGCCAAAGUUUGGAGGGAACGUGAGCUCGGGUCAGG